CACACUGGGGCCUGUCAGGGGUGGGGGGCUGGGGGAGGGAUAGCAUUAGGAGAAAUACCUAAUGUAAAUGACAGGUUGAUAGGUGCAGCAAACCACCAUGGCACGUGUAUACCUGUGUAACAAACCUCCACAUUCUGCACAUGUAUCCCAGAACUUAAAGUAAAAAAAAAAAAAAAAAAAACCUUUGUUUACAUUUAAAAAAAAAUCCCAGUGACUCAGCACAGUGAGCGAGGAGCACAAUAGGGUGGUUACCCAGACAGGACGUCCAUCUAGGAGCCCUGCGGGAGGCAUGCAGGUAUUUCUCUGGAGGUCAUGCCUGGCAGGCGUCCACUGUUAGAGCCAGAGGACCCGGAGCAUUAUCUGAAUGAACUAAUGACCAACAGGCGGGCAGAAAUGAGUGCUGCGGAUUGAUAACAGGGACAGCCAGACCCCCUCCCAUCCCCACGAGGCAGAGGCACCAGGCCACCUGGCUUUCCCACACAUCAACCUCGUGCUCACACCCCACUCUGGAGACCACCAGCUUCGAGGCAAAAAGAGAGAACGACGUACAAUGGGCAUCUUCCCUCAUCCACCCCAUUUCAAAGAGGGUUCUGCUUGCAGGAACUCAAAGCUCAGAGCUUUUAGCUUCCCAAAGCCCUAUUUCCAAACUAAAGCAAAGGUCCUUUAGAAUUUGCACGGCGGGCUGUGCAAAAUGAGAGAGAAGGAAAUCGCUGGCAGAAAUAUCCCCGAAGAAGGGAUUUCUCCCCCAAAGACCAGAAAGCAAUUCUUCUAGGUUAGGGGAAUGAGGAGACAUACAGAGAAAACAAGAGGCUUGGGAGUUCCUCAUGAAAGGACUGGACCUGGAGUGGCCAUGCAGGAGAGGUGCAAGGGACUUGGAGCCCCUGAAGCUUCAGGAGAGCUGCGUGGCCCAUGUCCUGCUGCACCGGCAGCCAUCACGCCCAUGAGCCCUGCCUGUGUCCAGAAACAGUGCUGCUGUCCUUGACCUCGUCACUCUGCAAGGACUUCGCUUCCCCAGCAGGCAGUUCACCUCUGGAUACCCCUCCCUGAUGCAAACUUUGCUCAUGUCAUGUCUAUCAAGAUCAAGAAAAUGGAGCCCAUAACUGAGAUCAGCACAUGGGUAAGGAAACUGCUGAAUGGAAGGAGCUCCAAGACCUGGAACUGAGACCGAAGCUGGCAACAUGGCGGGAUGUUGCACCCCCCACACACACGCUCACACGUGGUUUUCAUUCCUUCUUUCAUAUUACGGCGGGCGUGGAAUUACCAGUCAAUUUGACAUUUAUAAAUACAUUAACUAGCGCUUCCAAUUCUUCUCCUGCUUCCAAGUUUGUUCUCACCACCUCACAGAAAAUGCUGGGGACAGAAUUAAAUGCAGAGUAAUCUAAACAAGCUUUGAUAUGUCAUAUGUCUUUCCUACUGAAUAAGCUAAACCAACCAGGGUAAUUUAGUGAUACUUGGGCAAGAAAACUAGGAAUUACGCACACUUUCCUUUUCCAAAUUCCCCACAUGGAAGUCUGUGAAUUCUACUGCAAUUACAGUGGUAUAAUAAAAAAGAUAUGCUUGGCUUUUGUUCGUGUUCUUGGCAUAGACUUCCUAAAACCCUUGCAAUUCCUUGAGUGAUAGGAGUGUCUUUUGUUAUUCAUAAUGAGCCCUUUUCAAUUAUACCUGGGAUUAUGUGAGUGAAGUGGCUCUUGGCAGGACCCCUGGAUUGCCUCAGGAUGGGGGCUGGUUUGGUUGCCAGAGGAACCAAGCAUAUGAUUAGAGGGUAGAAAUUUUCACCAUCAUCCCCCCACCUCGGGGGAUAG
rnacentral:lncRNA from 1 species